rnacentral:rRNA from 1 species
UACGUAGGGUGCAAGCGUUAAUCGGAAUUACUGGGCGUAAAGCGUGCGCAGGCGGUUUUGGAAGUUUGUCGUGAAAUCCCCGGGCUCAACCUGGGAAUUGCGAUGAAGACUGCAAAGCUGGAGUCUGGCAGAGGGGGGUAGAAUUCCACGUGUAGCAGUGAAAUGCGCAGAUAUCAGGAGGAACACCAAUGGCGAAGGCAGCACUCUGGGACGGUACUGACGCUGAGACGCGAAAGCUAGGGGAGCAAACAGG